UCCCUGGUAGUAUAUCGGCUAGUACACGCGCCUGUCAUGUUUUCUGAGUCAGACAUGAUCGACUGAUCGCGCGAAAGCUGGGUUCGACUCCCAGCCAGGGAG